UACGUAGGGAGCGAGCGUUGUCCGGAAUCAUUGGGCGUAAAGAGCAUGUAGGUGGAUCAAUUAGUCUGCUGUGAAAGUCAAAGGCUCAACCUUUGAAAGCCGGUGGAUACUGUUGAUCUAGAGUACGGAAGAGGCGAGUGGAAUUCCUGGUGUGAGCGGUGGAAUGCGCAGAUAUCAGGAGGAACACCAAUAGCGAAGGCAGCUCGCUGGGACGUUACUGACACUGAGAUGCGAAAGCGUGGGGAGCAAACAGG
rnacentral:rRNA from 1 species